rnacentral:rRNA from 1 species
UACAGAGGUCUCAAGCGUUGUUCGGAUUCAUUGGGCGUAAAGGGUGUGUAGGUGGCGCCGUAAGUCGGGUGUGAAAUUUCGGAGCUUAACUCCGAAACUGCAUUUGAUACUGCCUUGCUUGAGGACUGGAGAGGAGACUGGAAUUCACGGUGUAGCAGUGAAAUGCGUAGAGAUCGUGAGGAAGACCAGUGGCGAAGGCGGGUCUCUGGACAGUUCCUGACACUGAGGCACGAAGGCCAGGGAGCAAACGGG